CCUACGGGCGGCAGCAGUGAGGAAUAUUGGUCAAUGGACGAGAGUCUGAACCAGCCAAGUAGCGUGAAGGAUGACUGACCUAUGGGUUGUAAACUUCUUUUAUAUGGGAAUAAAGUGUGACACGUGUGGCAUUUUGUAUGUACCAUAUGAAUAAGCAUCGGCUAACUCCGUGCCAGCAGCCGCGGUAAUACGGAGGAUGCGAGCGUUAUCCGGAUUUAUUGGGUUUAAAGGGUGCGUAGGUGGUUUAUUAAGUCAGUGGUGAAAGUUUGCGGCUCAACCGUAAAAUUGCAGUUGAAACUGGCAGUCUUGAGUACAGUAGAGGUAGGCGGAAUUCGUGGUGUAGCGGUGAAAUGCUUAGAUAUCACGCAGAACUCCGAUUGCGAAGGCAGCUCACUAAACUACAACUGACACUGAGGCUCGAAAGUGUGGGUAUCAAACAGGAUUAGAUACCCCUGUAGUC
rnacentral:rRNA from 1 species